UGCAAAGCAAACUUAUUUUAUUCAUGCGCCACAGAAGUUACUGUCCACUAUCGGGUAAAACCUUACAUUCGCCUUCAUCAUGGCUGGUGUUGCAACAGCGAAUAUGACCGCGCUGGUAUCCCCUACUCGAGUGAUAUUCUGUUUUAAAAUGAUAACUCGCUGGUUUUAGGUUUUGACAAGCGGAGGCAGCCUGGCGCUCGUUAAUGGGCUUAUUGUGACUCGCCGUUCACCUCAUUUGAACUUUUCUAAUCUUCCACAGAUACGGCAGAUAGCCUAGUCUGGCGGGUGAAGCCGUCGGUGCCGCGGCGAUAGACUAAAAGCUAUUCUUAGCAGGAGGAGGGCAAAAAAAAAACUUGACCUCCAGACAGAAAGACUUUCGUUGUUCGUUGAUGUUCGGUUCACCGUCAGCCAGCGAGAGCUUGGAGGGGAGCGGGGGGGAGGCUACAGAUACUGUAGUCGCUCUCUCUCUCUCUCUUUCUCCUUGUGACCGCGCUGUUUUCAGCUAACAAAAGUAACCGAGGGACAUGAACGGGCUGCAAAAGAAUGACAAGACUGCACUGUCCGAAGACCCGGGCGGACACCGGUUCAGGGUUUAAUGAUCACUCAUCUUGAACUUGGAAUUAAUCAGCGCAGGAUUCAGAUGCGUGUUUUUUUUUAUUGCUGUUGUUGUUUUGCUUGUUCUUCUGUACUGUACAAAUCAAGAUCAUUGCUUCCGCCCAACAUUGGAAUUACUUUUAAACAGAGGUUAUUGGAGACAAAAAGUCAUGACUACUUUGAGACUGCUUUGCCCUUUUGUGAUCUGUGUGGAUAUGAUACCAGACCGUACUCCACUCUGUGUACAGACGCCCAAGUCUGUGGAGGACAUUGGGGAGUAGAUGUCUGCUCCUGGCCAUCCAGGGGCUUCACCAGCUAUGAAUGGCUCCAGGAUUAUGAUGUUGAGGUGGAAGAUGAACCUGUUGAGUGGUGUUGCUCUUCAGCCAGGCCCUUUUGUCCCAUAUUCCCAAGAGAGGCCACCAUUAGCCCAGCCUGAGUUUUGAGGAUGAAGGCUUGGACUGUAGCUUUCCAAGGAUUGCCAUGACAACAGCCAGGAGCUUUUGCAGUAAUAAGGUAGGAAUACCUUUCAAUGACAGCGCACGUUGAAAUGAACUCAAAGACAUAAUGCUUCCAUAAAGGAGAAAGAAGAUCUCUAUGAAGUAUAAUUAUUUAUAUAUACAUCCAAAAUCUCCUGUUAACAGUCUCACCCAAAAUGUCUCCCUCCUGCCAACCUACUACUAAUAAGGAAACGUUUUCACAAACUACAGUUGCUCGCAAAAGAAUCUCUCCACCUGGUCUC
rnacentral:lncRNA from 1 species